rnacentral:rRNA from 1 species
UACGUAGGUGGCAAGCGUUGUCCGGAUUUACUGGGCGUAAAGGGCGUGCAGGCGGUUUGUUAAGUGCAGGGUGAAAGCUCCCGGCUCAACUGGGAGAGGUCCUUGCAUACUGGCAAGCUCGAGGGAGGCAGAGGAAAGUGGAAUUCCCGGUGUAGUGGUGAUAUGCGUAGAUAUCGGGAGGAACACCUGUGGCGAAGGCGGCUUUCUGGGCCUUACCUGACGCUGAGACGCGAAAGCGUGGGGAGCGAACCGG